CAGAACUUAAAGUAAAUUUUAAAAAAUAAAAAUAAAAAAUAAAUAUAAAUAUGUAAACAAUAUGGUUCUGGGACACAGUAUAGUAACAGGAACUUUAUGUUGGCAUAAUAAUCCUCAUUCAAUAAGCCUUUUUAGGAGAGUGUAACUGGCCACCAAUUUGAAGGAUUGCUUCUUCAUCCAAGAAAAGAAAUGAGGACAUGUUGUUCUCAUAAAAUGAUGGCUCCAAAUUAUUGUAUCAAGGGGUAGACUGCGUCAGCCUGAAUUUAUACCCCUAUUCUGUUUACACAAGAGGAGUCCUUGGCCUGCCAGACCCUUGGCUGCUUGCUCAAAAGAGAUGUCUGGCUGUCACCACUAUCACUUUGUCUCCAAAUAUCAACAACGCUCAUGGCCUCUCCUGGGCUGAGAUCCAAACUCCCUCCAGCAGAUCCUUCUUUAUGCAGCUUCAGCACAAGGUCUGGCUUUUCCACUUCUUCCAGCCUCAAAUGAAGUGCCAUUCCAUACACUGCAGGAUGUGACUUUCCGUGGAUUACUGGAAAUGGUGAGGUGAAACAAUCUGGAAGUUCAAGAGAGUUAAUCAGCUGAACCAAGGCAACUUAAUGGAAUGGGCCAGAAUUAAAAUCAUCGUCACAACUUGAAAAUGUGAAUGUCACAUCCUGAAAAUUACCAUCUUUCAUAUAAACGAACAGUCGUGCAAACGUUGACUAAACUUCUAAUAUGUACUAGGCACUGUGCCUAUCCAGAUGGAAACAAAAUAAACUCCAUGUGCAUGA
rnacentral:lncRNA from 10 species